CCUACGGGAGGCAGCAGUAAGGAAUAUUGGUCAAUGGACGCAAGUCUGAACCAGCCAUGCCGCGUGAAGGAUGAAUGCCCUCUGGGUUGUAAACUUCUUUUAUAGGGGACGAAAAAGGGUCUUUUUAGAUCAACUGACGGUACCCUAGGAAUAAGCACCGGCUAACUCCGUGCCAGCAGCCGCGGUAAUACGGAGGGUGCAAGCGUUAUCCGGAUUUACUGGGUUUAAAGGGUGCGUAGGUGGGUUGGUAAGUCAGCGGUGAAAUCUUCGAGCUUAACUCGGAAACUGCCAUUGAUACUAUCAGCCUUGAAUAUCCUGGAGGUGAGCGGAAUAUGUCAUGUAGCGGUGAAAUGCUUAGAUAUGACAUAGAACACCAAUUGCGAAGGCAGCUCACUACGGGAUUAUUGACACUGAGGCACGAAAGCGUGGGGAUCAAACAGGAUUAGAUACCCUGGUAGUCCACGCCCUAAACGAUGGAUACUCGACAUUUGCGAUAUACAGUAAGUGUCUGAGCGAAAGCACUAAGUAUCCCACCUGGAAGUACGAUCGCAGAUUGAAACUCAAAGGAAUUGACGGCUGAGACGACGACGACGACGACGACGGAGGGAGGAGG
rnacentral:rRNA from 1 species